UACGUAGGGUGCGAGCGUUAAUCGGAAUUACUGGGCGUAAAGGGCGCGUAGGCGGUCAGCACAAGUCAGUUGUGAAAUCUCCGGGCUUAACUCGGAAAGGUCAACUGAUACUGUGCGACUAGAGUGCAGAAGGGGCAACUGGAAUUCUUGGUGUAGCGGUGAAAUGCGUAGAUAUCAAGAGGAACACCUGCGGCGAAGGCGGGUUGCUGGGCUGACACUGACGCUGAAGCGCGAAAGCCAGGGGAGCGAACGGG
rnacentral:rRNA from 1 species